rnacentral:rRNA from 1 species
GACGUAGGGUGCGAGCGUUGUCCGGAUUUAUUGGGCGUAAAGGGCGCGUAGGCGGUCAGCACAAGUCAGUUGUGAAAUCUCCGGGCUUAACUCGGAAAGGUCAACUGAUACUGUGCGACUAGAGUGCGGAAGGGGCAACUGGAAUUCUCGGUGUAGCGGUGAAAUGCGUAGAUAUCGAGAGGAACACCUGCGGCGAAGGCGGGUUGCUGGGCCGACACUGACGCUGAUGCGCGAAAGCCAGGGGAGCAAACGGG